ACAGAGUUUUAAUUAUUUGUAAAGACUUCAAUUGUUCACUAAUGUCAUGGAUUGGUCCUCACAGUGUGAAGUGCAACUGCCCAGAUCCCCCACAGUAUUAUAAAUAGUCUUCUAAAGCCGGGUUGAUUGAUGUUUGGCAUAAAACUCUAUUCCUCUGAGCACAUAUAUUCCUUCUGUUCACUAUUUUCAUAGAAAAAUACCAGGGCUGAUUUUUUAUUCAAAUCUCCAAUUUAUGCAGGGUUUAAACUACUAAAUACUUAAAGCCGUUUUCAGAUCUUUCCCCCCUUUUCUGUUAGGUAGGUAACUAAAUCUUUGGCUUCAAUGCAAAUAAGAAUUGGAGAUUUAGCAGAUUCCUGUGGGGGAGAGGAAGAGUUUAUUAAUUAUAUUGAGAAUCAAAUAAUAUGCUUCUUUGACACUAAUGUUCCAUCUUUCUCCACCCCAAGUAUCCUAUGGGACAACUUUAAAGCCUUUAUCAGGGUCUAAAUUACUGCAUUUAUGGUUCCUUAGAAGUAGGAAUUUAAUGAAUGGCAUUCUGAGUUGAAGAGAGAAUUUGAAGGUUUAAGCUGCAACGGUGAAGCAAUUUUUUUCAAAGUAUGUGGCAGGGAUUGUAAUAUAAAACAUCAAAAAAAGCACAAUAAAAUACAUUUUCAUGAGUGUUAAUAAAUUUUUAAUACUGAUGAAAUGUAAAUUUUUCCUUCAUGACCCUUAUCUGCAUUUGACAGAGUCCAACAGAAAAUUUUAAGUACCUGUUUAAAGCAAUUUACAAGAUACUGUGGAGAUUCCCAGCAAUAAAGAAUGUACUAUAGUUAAGCUGGAAUCCAACUCCUGAAUUUCUGGAGCCCUGAAGACCACUUAGUCUUACUCACAAGAAUUGAAUGGAAUGUGAAUCUACACUCAGGUGAAGCCAGGGUAUUUUGAACGUCCCUACAAGACUGAAGCACCACUGGGAAAUAAGUAAUAGAGAUGCCAUCAUUGUGGAGGUCAUAAUGCUUGUCCUGAACACGAGGGGUCUCUAGUGAGGCACCAAUUCAGCUCCUCUUCUGUGGAGAGACUACAUGGGUGCUGAAGAAACAAAGACACAACGCAGCUCCUCUCAAAGGAGUUCAGAGCUUAGCAGGGGAGACAGAACCAUGAAUGCAUAGUUACGCAUCAAUGUGCUGCACGAGCACUGAAGCCCAAGCACAAGCGGCCUGAGUCCCAAAAACAUUUGCUGACUGCUGUUCUAUCUAGGAUAUCAUCAGUGUGUAGAUGAUCAGAGUUCAUGUCAGUGUUCCUACAAGCCAAUGAAGAAAAACAGAGAUCUGUGUUCUGAAUGGAAAAAUUCCUACUGAUGCCACCCACUAGUCUGGAACAAGUCAGUCUCAAACAUAACAACAGACACUGGGGAGCUCUCCAACAAAAGAUCACCUCCCAAAGAACAGGAUGGUGUCGAAGACUGAAUGCCAGCCUGAGGAAACAGAAAUACUACAGAAGCACGCCAGAGCCUGCAGUGUCUCCUCGCUGCCUCUCAAUGAACUGCUAAAAGACCAAGAACUCUGCUGAGAGAUAAGAAGAGGGGAGGGUGUGCUGCAGGUGGUGCUGGGAGGCCCAGACCUUCUCCUGACAUCUGGGGCUGGCUACAGGAAACAGAAACAUCACCCAGGCCUUGGCGCGAGACAGGACAGAGGCAGAUUGUGACUCAGAUCUGCAGGUGGAAAGUGGGCCUUUCGUUUUCUCCUAGGGGUAGAGCAAAGCCAGAGGGCUCAGUCAGAGGAAACCUAAGGCAGUUCAUGAUCCCUUCAACUUUAUACCAUUUCCUCAAAACUGCCUCCAAACAGUGGGCAACUGGAAAGGUGGUCUGACCUCCAGUGAUCACACAGUAUGCAUUAUAACAGAAGGCUGUCACUGUCAAUUGCAUGGCUCCCUCACUAUGCAUUCCUUCUAUCAAUUUACGACAACACACUGUAGUGAGUACCUGCACAUUGCUGGGUAUUUUGGCAGACAUUGAUAGUAGAUGAAUAACACCUGGUACUUGACCUUGAGACGCUCACUGCCUAGUGUGGGGAACCAAUGGUUGCAAUAUAAAGUAUUAACUAGAGGGAUAGAGGACUGCCUGAGGAUCUCUGCACUCAGAGGAAGGGCCAUGAGAUCAGCCAGGACAGUAGGGAGGCAGUGACUCAUGAAAUUAGCAAGUGGUGAGAAGAGGGCAGUAGAUUCAGCGGCUGCUAAAAAAGGUUACUGAACUUUUUGUUUCAUCAAUGCCAAGAAAUUAAUCUGUUUUAGCCUCUUUCAUGGCCUCUGUUUGAAAUUUUUUAACUUUUUUUUUUUUUUUAGAUUUAGGGGUACAAGGACAGUUGUAUUGCAUGAGUAUAUCAUAUAGUGGUGAAGCCUGGGCUUUAAGUGCACCUAUCACCCGAAUAGCGUACAUUGUACCCACUAGGUAGUAUUUCAUUUCUCACCCUUCUUCCACCUUUUGGAAUCUCCAGUGUUUGUUGUUCUACUCUGUAUGCCCAUGUGUACUCAUUGUUUCACUCCCACUUAUAAGUGAGAACAUGUGCUUUUGACUUUCUGUUUCUGAGUUGUUUCACUUAGGAUAAUGCAUGUUCCUGUUUUGAUUCAGUCAAAAUCCUGGGGUCAGCACUGACAAUGUGAUUAACCCCUGUCCUAAAUUCACUGCAGAGGAACUGCUCCCAUAUGACUACUUAUUACCACCCAAGCCAGAAACCACAAAGAUAUUCUGACCUCUCCUCCUUCACUCCCCACCAACUGGUGAGUAAGCUAGUCACCAAGUCUUGAUUCUACUUGCAAACAUCUUUGGAAGGGAUCUCUCACUCCACACAGUCUCUGUCAUUGCCAAGUAUACCCAUUACCUCUGCUCUGUCCUACGGCUCAUCAUUCCUCAUCUACAUGCUGCACCAACCUCCUAACUCCCAUUCCUCCCCCUCCUAGUUCACUGCCAUAGCGUAAUCUU
rnacentral:lncRNA from 1 species